ACGCUUAUUGGAGCCUAGGGUUUUGACGACACCGUUCAGCGUCCAGAACACACGUGUAUUUCACGUGCUGUUGCGUGAAAUUUUAAUACGGAUCAAUAUCCGCAAGUUUAGGCCAAUUCUCAAAAAUUUGGAAGAAUUUCGGAGAAACCGCUCGCCAUUGUCUCUCAUCCCAUGUUUCCUCUCAAACCCUAAAAAUUUCCAUCUGUAAAUCCCAUGAAAGAAGAUUCUCUGUUCUCUCUUUUCCAUUGGUCUUCAGACAGACUAUGCCUGAUGUUAGUAGUUGUUUUGCUGAAGAUGAAAUGUGGUAAAUCUCAGAAGGUAAAGUUCAUGCAUGAGCUGAGGUUGUAGAUUGUGCACAAUAAGUCUUUGGAAUGGAACACAUAAGGAGCACAUAAGGCUGAAGAGUUGGCUUCUCCCAUGCACCAUCAUCAGAACACAAUUCACACCAGAAGGGUAAAUCCGGGUGUUCUUUGUUAAAGCCUGUCGGAAAAUUAUUUCGGUAAGUUUGAGGGCUUAUAUGAUAAGUCCCCCAAUGAAUUACAUGAUUUACCAUGAGUUGUUGCCAUGAAUUAUUUCAAACUGAUGUCUUCUUCCUGUAAUUAUUUUUGUUUUAUUUCACUUAUCUCAAUAAUGGCUCAAUGUUGACAUACAAUAACAUUGUUCAGUAAUCUCUUGAUUCUCCUCAAUGGCUCAAUGUAGUCCUUUUCAUUUUACCAAGAUUUCUAUUGCGCCUCUCUUUACUGAUUGGAUAGUUUAGUCAAGUCACCUGGGUGUACGAAAGUUAUGUGAUGUACGAAAGUCAAUUCUCUCUUCGCCAUUUUCUUCAGGUUUGUUGCACAUUCUUCGAAUGUUUCUUUGGUGCUUUUUUUUAAAUUAUUGUUGCUAUUAUUAUUAUUAUUAUUAUUAUUAUUAUUAUUAUUAUUAUUAUUAUUAUUAUUUUCUCAAAUAUAAUCUAAUAUUUUCAAUCCUACGUUGAAUUCUUUAUCUUCUUCCUCUAGUCACCCUUCACGUGUUACAGUGGCGGAAAACCUCGGGGUUUCUAUCUUAUUCAUUUUCGGUUGUGAUUUCACUCAAUUUCUCAUUCUUGUACUCGGAUUUCUGAGGUAACCCCUAAACUAUUGCAUGUCCUAUUCUGUUCAUCCCUUCAAUUCUCAUUGAUAUUUACUUUUGUAUAAAUGUGUGAUUUGCAAAAUUAAUAAUUUAUAGAUGGGUGAAUUUAUGUUAAUUUUGUCAUAUUUUGAGCCUUUACUUAGUCUUGACUUGGUAUAAUUAUUUUAUGAAUGUUAAGCUUCUGGAUUUAUUAAUUGAUUUAUUUGUUAUGGAAUUUGUUUAUUUAUGCUUUUUUACAGUUAAAGCUACUGAAUUUAUGAUUGAUUGAAUACACUCCUUGGCCAUAUUACCUAGUGCAAGGCUAGUAUGUGGUCUUCGUAUCUUAAAUAUAAUUGGUUGAUAAAAGCAACAUUUCAGCAUUACAAAAGCACGAAACUAAGGCUAAUGAAGGAACUGAACCUACUUCUUAGUUUUUCACUUACCCUAAGACCAAUACUGACAACAAUAUUGGCUUCCAAGUACCUACACACUAUUAGACGUGACUGAACCUGUUGCCUUUGCAAUUUUUCCGACCACUUGGAUAGCAUCUUUUGGGGCUUAAGAGAUCAUCUUUUAAAUAAUAAGCAGCAUCAGGAAAACAAGAGUUUGGCCAAAACUUGUAUUGCUUACAUGUAAGCAAAUAUAAAUUCACAAAAGUAAGAAUUAAUUUCACAAGUGAACCAUACAAUAAUUCCCUUAUUUUUAUAAUCUUAUCUACUUUGUUUACCAAGUGAAUAGAUACUGACUAAUUACUGAAAGCAUCGUUGGAGCUAAAGUUGUGCUGACUCUUGUUUUCAUCGGAAACAAGAUCUAGUGUGUCCUACUUAGAAAGUCUAUUCCUGACCUUAUAUGUUGAUGAUGGUAUUUUUCUUGGUUACAUUUUGGUUCCAGGCAGAGUAGGCCUGAUGUUUAUAAGUUGCUUUGCUGAAACUAAUGUAGAUCUCUGAAGUUUAUGUUGUCAACUACGAAGUAAUAUAACUUAAAAGUGUAGGUUUUAAUGUUUUGGGAUCUGAAUGAGCCUCAUCUCUUAUUUAUUAAUGGUGUUAAAUUCUUAAUCAUCCCUAGUUUGUACUUGAAGUAUAUAUGAUAGUUUGUUGCUAAGAAAUCGCAUCGUUCAGCAUCAUGUUUGUUUUUUUGUUGAAGCCAAUGUUAUAAUCUCAUUAGUUUAUUUUGGCAAAUAUAAGCACUUAGAAGUGUAUUCUUUCACGUUAUAUUCAACUCUAGUUUGUAAUUGAAUUAGUAUGCUAAUGUUAUGUUAUUUCUGUUACUAAGGUGCUCUGAUCAUCAGGCCCUACUCUAUUCUGGCCAGCUAUGUUUACUGUGAAGCUUCACUUUAUACAGUGUGUGUAUCUUUUUCAGGUGCUUGGUUGAGCCAGUUUAACGACCAAGCUAUCCUUGAACAACAUCUCCUAGUUCUGUAGAUCGUUCAACGUGAUGAGGAGCGACAUGAGAAUGAAGGCCAUGACACUUGAGCUUAUAAGCUACUACCACCUUAGAUCCUAGUUUUUCUAGGAUUUAGUUCUUCGGUUUGGUAGAUACAAUUUGUGCUUUUUGUUAUGUUUUGGACUAUUUAGUUAGUAACAUGUUAGUAACUUUAUCAUGUACUAUGGAUUUUAACGUAUUACGUACUUCUAGAUUUUGUAAGUAUUUUUAAUGUUACGUUGAUUGAAGACCAAUUAUUCAAAAUUCAGGUUUCA